GGGACCGGGCCCAAACGAUUUUCUUACCGUGAGCUGGUAAUCGCCACCAACAACUUUGCAAAUCGCGACAAGCUGGGGGAAGGAGGUUUCGGUUCGGUAUACAGAGGACACAUAAAGGACCUAAGUCUUGAUGUGGCGAUAAAGAGAGUGUCCAAAAGUUCGAAACAGGGGAGGAAAGAGUACGUCUCUGAGGUGAGCAUCAUAAGUCGUCUCAGGCAUCGUAACCUUGUACAACUCAUUGGAUGGUGUCAUGGUCGUGGCGAGCUUCUCCUGGUCUAUGAGCUAAUGCCCAAUGGUAGCCUUACCGCACAUCUUUACAACAUAGUCAUAGACAACAAGUUAUCAUGGCCCACGAGACAUGAAAUUGUGCUUGGGAUUGGUUAUGCACUUCUGUAUCUCCAUCAAGAAUGGGAGCAAUGUGUAUUGCAUAGGGACAUCAAACCAAGCAAUGUGAUGCUGGGCGCGUCCUUCAACGCUAAGCUUGGUGAUUUCGGACUCGCUAGGCUCGUCAACCAUAGCCAAGGAUCACACACAACGGAGCUUGCCGGCACCACAGGGUACAUGGACCCAGAGUGCAUGCGCGUAGGCAGGGCGAGCAUCGAGUCAGACAUCUACAGCUUUGGUGUAGUCCUACUCGAGAUCUCCACUGGUCGUAGACCCGUUGUGGUUUUGCCGGAUGACACCGUGAUCCACUUGGCGCAACGGGUGUCAGAGUUGUAUGACCAAGGAAGGAUUCUUGACGCGGUAGACCAGCAGCUAAAUGGGGAGUUCGACGUUGAAGAAAUGGAACGUGUGAUGGUGGUCGGGCUCUUGUGUACAUGUCAUUACUCGAGCCUAAGGCCGUCCAUAAGGCAGGCCAUCAAUGCCUUGAGGUUCGAGGCUCCAUUGCCGAACCUCCUAUUGAAGAUGUCGUCGGUUGUCUCUCGAAGCAUUUCUCCUCCAUUUUUGCUUUCGCCUAAUCAGAACUCAGGACUGACACGUUGUGCCUCGGCUCCACUGAACAACGAAAUGCUUAAUUAG
rnacentral:rRNA from 1 species